GAUGAACGCUGGCGGCGUGCCUAAUACAUGCAAGUCGAGCGAACAGAUGAGGAGCUUGCUCCUCUGACGUUAGCGGCGGACGGGUGAGUAACACGUGGAUAACCUACCUAUAAGACUGGGAUAACUUCGGGAAACCGGAGCUAAUACCGGAUAAUAUAUUGAACCGCAUGGUUCAAUAGUGAAAGACGGUUUUGCUGUCACUUAUAGAUGGAUCCGCGCCGCAUUAGCUAGUUGGUAAGGUAACGGCUUACCAAGGCAACGAUGCGUAGCCGACCUGAGAGGGGGAGAGGACACACUGGAACUGAGACACGGUCCAGACGACUACGGGAGGCAGCAGUAGGGAAUCUUACGAAAUGGGCGGAAGCCUGACGGAGCAACGAAGAGUGAGUGAUGAAGGUCUUCGGAUCGUAAAACUCUGUUAUUAGGGAAGAACAAAUGUGUAAGCAACUAUGCACGUCUUGACGGUACCUAAUCAGAAAGCCACGGCUAACUACGUG
rnacentral:rRNA from 1 species